rnacentral:rRNA from 1 species
CCUACGGGAGGCAGCAGUAGGGAAUCUUCGGCAAUGGGGGGAACCCUGACCGAGCAACGCCGCGUGAGUGAAGAAGGUUUUCGGAUCGUAAAGCUCUGUUGUAAGAGAAGAACGGGUGUGAGAGUGGAAAGUUCACACUGUGACGGUAUCUUACCAGAAAGGGACGGCUAACUACGUGCCAGCAGCCGCGGUAAUACGUAGGUCCCGAGCGUUGUCCGGAUUUAUUGGGCGUAAGGCGAGCGCAGGCGGUUAGAUAAGUCUGAGGUUAAAGGCUGUGGCUUAACCAUAGUAUGCUUUGGAAACUGUUUAACUUGAGUGCAGAAGGGGAGAGUGGAAUUCCAUGUGUGGCGGUGAAAUGCGUAGAUAUAUGGAGGAACACCGGUGGCGAAAGCGGCUCUCUGGUCUGUAACUGACGCUGAGGCUCGAAAGCGUGGGGAGCAAACAGGAUUAGAUACCCUGGUAGUCCACGCCGUAAACGAUGAGUGCUAGGUGUUAGGCCCUUUCCGGGGUUUAGUGCCGUAGCUAACGCAUUAAGCACUCCGCCUGGGGAGUACGACCGCAAGGUUGAAACUCAAAGGAAUUGACGG